rnacentral:lncRNA from 1 species
AAGAGUUUUCCCUUGAGUCUUCUAUGUUCUGUUAUGAAACAUUGCAUUGUCCUUCACCUCCCCAGAAUCCCGGAUACAUAGACCGCCGAGAUAAACUACAAUGCUCAAGAAAUGGUGGACAUAUAUUAAUCACUGGAUCUAAACAGAGUAUAAGGAGUCAUUCAUUGCCAAAGAGCAAUCAAUAGAAAAGGGUGUCCAAGCGAGAUUAAGUGGUGAAUGUGGAAGAGGAAGAAGAUCGUAGUGACAGAAAAUUGAAACGUAAAGAAAUGUUUGCAAGCGCAAUUAAACACAUGUUGCAAUUGAUGACAUGUGAUACCACUCAAAUUACCCUAAGGAGUGAAUUACUCUCUCAAAUAAGAGGUUCAGUUGCAGUACUUAGGGAUCGAAUCCACAAGGAGCUAGGGAACCUAUUAAAUCUAGCCAGGUUAUUAAUUCUAGGUGUUUGUUGUUUCAUGGGUUUAAAAGUAAAUAGCAAUCUUAAUUGAGCAAGACUAUUGCUCGACUAACAAGAUGAUUGGGGGUGUAAC